rnacentral:rRNA from 1 species
GACGAAGCGUGCAAGCGUUGUUCGGAAUCACUGGGCUUAAAGGGCGCGUAGGCGGCCUGACAAGUCAGCGGUGAAAGCCUCUAGCUUAACUAUAGAACUGCCUCUGAUACUGUUAAGCUUGAAAGAAGUAGAGGUGUACGGAAUGUGUCGUGGAGCGGUGAAAUGCAUAGAUAUCUCAUAGAACUCCGGUUGCGAAGGCAGCAGGCUAACCUUUUUCUGACGCUGAGGCACGAAAGCGAGGGUAGCGAACAGG